GCAAGCUCUGGAGAACAUUGAUAUUCAGGAGGUCCCUGAGUCGAAGCAGAACUUCUGUUCCAGGCCAGCGGAGGACAGCCAUCCAUAUACGCUAAGGAGAUAUUUAGGUGUCUAGCGACUCACCAGCACAUCUUGGACUGGAGGGGGCAUGUGACUCUAAUCCUGCCCCAGAGUGUAGCCAAGUGUCUGGAAUACCUAUUCCAUGAGAAGUUCACUUUCAUCGCCUGACAGCAAUGGGUGAAAAUUUGGUGUAAAACCAACAGGAUGCUGGUUUAGCACAGAGAUGCAGUACACCUCCUUACAAGCACCCUACAUCGAUGCACAGACCUAACUGACUGCCCUGGGGAUUGCUAAAGCAGCCAGACAGCCAUCUCCACUGUAACGUGGACCCUUAUAUUAAAACCAGCAAUGGACCAAAUACACAUUCCAGUUUUGCUUGCACUCAUAACAGGCAGGUUUUUGGGGACUCAGUUUACAGUGGUCCAGGACAGUCAGGGCAUGGCCGAUUUACAAGGGUGCUGUGUUCGAUAGGCUAUUGAUUGAGCGCCCCAACCCAACUUACAACAACCAGUAUAGCAGAUGAAGAAGGUAACAGUACUUGACCAGAAAUAGGACUCUCAGGAUUUGUAGCUAAAACACAAAUCCCAGGUGCUGAAAUGGCCAUGUCCCUUCCCAAGUGGUGAAUCCUACUGCUGCUGCCUGCGAUGGGGAAUUAUUGUAGAAAAAUCACUGAAACCAUCAAUCCCGUGCACAGCAGCAGCAAGAGAGGCAAACAAGAUAUCAAGUGAUAUUAGCAGGGGGAUAGAAUACUAAACAAAAGGACAAGAUUACCAUUUGUCCAGGUGGCCACACGGGCAGAAAAGAGAAGAAACCAUCCCCCCCAUGUGGUCUUCCUGCAUCACCAAUCUGCACACAGAGCUGAGAAGCUCUACAGGGUUACUGCAUGUAUAAGUGGGGCAGAGAGGGACAGAGAAUGGGCUGAGCAUUGACUGUGCCUCUCCUCCUACCCCAAAUGUAUAGCCAGUGCAGCUGAGCUGGCUCAGAGGAGGAAGUAUUUUGUGAGUGGUAUAAGAGAGGGGCAGGGAGGAAGGAACGAACUGUGGCCACUAGUGGAGAAGAAAAUGCUGGUAACAAUCAACUCUGCCUUCAUUUACACCAGGUACAAAGAAGGGGGGGGGGUACAUGCAGCACCCAUUGUAGGGAUAGCUGCAGAUGCAUUUCCUGGGAGCUCUGGCAGGAAUUGUGAACAAACCAGCCAAAUUCCUCCCAGGGCACCAGCUGCAGUGAGGUCCCUCCAUGCUCCUUCCAGCCCACUUUGGACUAGAAGAGUCAGAAUGUAGCCAUAAUUAUGCAUAAUUAGUCUAUGAUAACAAAUUACACACAUUUUCAAAUAAAUAUUAGAGACCAUCAUUAUUUGGAGCAUUGCUGCAUUCAGCUACCCAACCCUCCAUAGUAUGAUUGAUGGAGUACUCAAAGCCACGGAAUACGUUGACCUGGAAUGGAGUGAUUAUUUAAAAAAUGAACACAGAAAUAAGUGCACAUGAAUCAAACAAUGCUAAACACUAGAGAGUAUCAGAGUAGCAAGGGUUGGAGGUCAAUUACCAGUCCAUAGCUUUUAGGUAGAAGAUUAUUUCAGACAUAUACCCUAGGAUUUUAAAGCUCAGGCUCAAAAUCCCUCAGAAUUUUAAACAAUUCCAUAUUAAAAGAAAAUUCUCAGAUAGUAGAUUUUUCUUUUCUCCCCCCUUUACUGUUCUUUGGCUUCAAUGUCCAGCAGUGAGUGAGCACUUAUUGUACAGAACACAACAUGCUUGCUCAUUAUUAAAGGACGGUUUUAAUAGCACCUAUAAUCACUGCUCAAAGAAGAAGAAAGCUGUAAUGAUGCUACUUGGGUCUAAAAACUGACCACAGGGUAAAAUGGGACUGAUCACUACAGGAUAGGUUGUAUCAGUCUCUACAAUUAACAUUUGACCAUAGGAGGCAAUCAUUCUUCUCACCUUCCUGCACCUCAUUUCUGUCUCUUACUCCUUCCCUGAUGAAAGCAAUUUUCUCACACCCAGCUCCGAAGCAUAUUGUUUUCUAAUGUAUUCAGGAUGUAAUAAAAAUUUUAGUUAUGAAGAAUGAAGAGUAGAUUCUGUUAUGCAACCUCUCCAGCUGUUGAAGAACUAAUAAAAGUGUGUCCCUCAUCAUCAGGCCAAAGAAAACAUCCUUUCUGACUAACAAAUUUUAGAUUUAGAAGCUGAAACCUCUGUGGAUGUUUGCAUAUUUAGAAUGAGUCACCAUUGGAAUAUGAAUAUUUUUUCUAGAGCUAUUGUAUUUCUUGAUAGUUCAUCAAUUAAGGUUACUUAAUUGGUUACUUACCUCCAUACUAAGGCCCAGAUGUCUUGUUUGCUAUCAAUGGGGAUUUUAAAAUAUUUUCUUUGGCUAUGAAACUAUCAAAUAACCAGAUCAUGAAAGCCUGCUUCAUAGCCAUUGGAAACAGUAUCAUAAUCACAUGAGACCAAACUCACGAGAAUGGUAGUUUUUUAUGGUUAUAAUUUUAGAGGAAAGGAUGCCUGUCUUAAGCUAAGUCUUUAAUUUUAUCCAACUGUGUGAGGCUGGCACUUAUGAUUAUGAUGUGUUCUCAAACAGGUUGCAGAAAAAGUGGGAUCUUAAAUAAGGAGAUAUGAAAGACAUCAAAAGUACAUCCACUUAGACAAAACUCUGAGAAAGCCACAGCUUUCUGCUUACCUUUUAUUAAGGCAGCGUGGUGCUUUUGUUCCACAAACUGGAUAUUUAAAGAGAUAUUUCAACAGGUCUUUUUUCUUAAUAAAGACCAUGAAAGAAGGAUGUUAACAAAAUAGUAAAGUAGUCUGACAUAGGGAUAAUGAUAUACCCGUGGCAAGUAUAAGAAAGGAGAGUGACAGCAGAGAACCAGAGAGGUCAUUUAUUUAUGGCUCAGUCCAGAUGUUUUGUUAAAAUUGACAUUUUCUCAUUUUCUGCUGGGAAAUUUCCAUUGGAAUGUUUUGGGUUUUUUCCCCGAACAGCUCUAUUCCUGGGUCCAAAGUAGCAAAUAAAGAUUUGGUUGUGUGUGCAUCCUCGAUGACAUGGGAGGCAGAAGAUGAGAAUGGAAGAGGGGGGGAAAUGAGGAUGAUGGAGGUGGAAAGAAUAGAGAAUGGGGGAUGAGGAGGAAAUUAAUGGUGGAGAAAAUGAAAAGACUAUGGAAAAAAAGACAGCCAGAUAUAGGCAGCUACUUCAGAAAUGGGACUAUAUAAAUUCUUAUAUUAGACAGACCAAAGGACUAGGGAAAGCUGGAGUGAAUUAGAAAAAGUAAGAACAGGAAACUUGAGAGACCAACAAUUUAAAAAACUCUUUGUAUAGAAAAUUGGAUGCCAACAUAUUGCAGUAAAAUACAUGUUAGUGUUUGAUUUAGAUGCUAGGGACAUGA